rnacentral:rRNA from 1 species
UUUAUUGGAGAGUUUGAUCCUGGCUCAGGAUGAACGCUGGCGGCGUGCCUAAUACAUGCAAGUCGAGCGAAUGGAUUGAGAGCUUGCUCUCAAGAAGUUAGCGGCGGACGGGUGAGUAACACGUGGGUAACCUGCCCAUAAGACUGGGAUAACUCCGGGAAACCGGGGCUAAUACCGGAUAACAUUUUGAACUGCAUGGUUCGAAAUUGAAAGGCGGCUUCGGCUGUCACUUAUGGAUGGACCCGCGUCGCAUUAGCUAGUUGGUGAGGUAACGGCUCACCAAGGCAACGAUGCGUAG